UACGUAGUUGACUCCAGCUGUAAGUCAUGUGACACUAACAUAGAGCUACGUAGUUGACUCCAGCUGUAAGUCAUGUGACACUAACAUAGAGCUACGUAGUUGACUCCAGCUGUAAGUCAUGUGACACUAACAUAGAGCUACGCAGUUGACUCCAGCUUGAGGCUGACUAUUUUUUGGGGAGAUGACUUGCUGGACUGCUGUGGCAUCUGUCAGCAGUAUGGAAUCUGAUAGGAUAGGAUAGCACCGUGUGUGUGUGUGUGUGUGUGUGUGUGUGUGUUCCCGGUCCCUUGGUCAUGCAAUGGUGCUGACACAGCAGAGCCCUAGUUGCCAGUCCAGCCCCAGGUCAGCGCACUGCAGUGUGUGUGUGUGUGUGUGUGUGUGUGUGUGUGUGUGUGUGUGUGUGUGUGUGUGUGUGUGUGUGUGUGUGUGUGUGUGUGUGUGUUGCUGCCGCUGCUGCUCCUGUAUAAUGUGACGGAGGGAAUAAUCUCAUCUCACACCACUGGAUAACAGCACUGCAGACACACACACACACACACACACACACACACACACACACACACACACUUUAGCUCUGCCACCCUUUGACUAGGUGGCGCUGUAAAAAAAAAUGGGUGUAGUCGUAAAACUUCCUGUAGAGGAAGAGGCAUUAUCUGUGUUUUUAAAGCAGGUCUCACUGAGAGGCAGCGUGGUGGUGUCAGGUGUUGAUGGGAAACAGGACCUUCAUUCAACAGCAACACCACCCAACAUCCCUGGAGGCCUUAUGCAUAGGGCUCAUCAACACAAGAUAAGGAACCAUAUACACAAGAUAAUGAACCAUAGACACAAGAUAAUGAACCCUAGACACAAGAUAAUGAACACUAGACACAAGAAAAUGAACCAUAGACACAAGAUAAUGAACCAUAGACACAAGAUAAUGAACCCUAGACACAAGAUAAUGAACCCUAGACACAAGAAAAUGAACCAUAGACACAAGAUAAUGAACCAUAGACACAAGAUAAUGAACCAUAGACACAAGAUAAUGAACCCUAGACACAAGAAAAUGAACCAUAGACACAAGAUAAUGAACCCUAGACACAAGAAAAUGAACCAUAGACACAAGAUAAUGAACCAUAGACACAAGAUAAUGAACCCUAGACACAAGAAAAUGAACCAUAGACACAAGAUAAUGAACCAUACACACAAGAUAAUGAACCAUAGACACAAGAUAAUGAACCCUAGACACAAGAAAAUGAACCAUAGACACAAGAUAAUGAACCAUACACACAAGAUAAUGAACCAUAGACACAAGAUAAUGAACCCUAGACACAAGAGAAUGAACACAAACAAACAACCGUUUGUCUGUUUGUAUAUCAAGAGGAGAGUCAUCAAUGGUUUAUGGUCCCUGAGGGGCUAUCAAGAAGGGUCAUCAAUGGUUUAUGGUCCCUGAGGGGCUAUCAAGAAGGGUCAUCAAUGGUUUAUGGUCCCUGAGGGGCUAUCAAGAAGGGUCAUCAAUGGUUUAUGGUCCCUGAGUAGAUAUCAAGAGGAGAUUCAUCAAUGGUCUAUCUUCCCCGAGGAGGAAUGUGAUGAGAAAUGUGAUUGAAGGUGGAGUCUCCUUGCAGAGAGGGGACACCUUGUUACCAGUCUGAGAAAGACCUUAUCUACCUGCUGUUCUCUUCAUCUCCCCCUGUCUUCUCCCGCUCUCUCCCUCUCUCUCUCUCUCUCUCUCUCUCAAUUAAAUUAAAUUAAAUUCAAGGGCUUUAUUGGCAUGGGAAACAUGUGUUAACAUUGCCAAAGCAAGUGAGGUAGAUAGCUCUCUCUCUCUCUCUCUCUCUCCCUCUCUCUCUCUCUCCCUUUCUCUCUCUUUCUCCCCCUCUCCCCACCCUCUCUCUCUCUAUCCCCCUCUCCCACCCUAUUCCCCUCUCUCUCUUUCUCUCUCUCCCUCUCUCCCACCCUCUCCCUCUCUCUCCCUCUCUCUCUCUCCCCUUCUCGCUAGUUCCCCCCCUUCCCUCCUCAUCCCUCAUUCUUUCUCCCCCUCUCCCUCUCUCUCUCUGGGUGGAAACCUCCCAAGGAGCAGGAUCUGGUGACCUGUCUGUCGGUAGCCUUGCGUGGGCAGAGGGACGGGGACAUGGAGCUGUGUUUGUCUAAUAUUUUUCAUCCUAAUUACCCACAGUGCACCACACCAUGUAGCUCUUGUACUUUUCACAAUUAAAGGGGAACCUUCCUCUUCCUAAUGGCUGGCCUGUCUGGGGAAAAGGUUACGUUAUCUAGCUGGGGCUGAUUGAUACAACAUUUAGUGUAACGAAGGCCUGCUGUAGUCUCAACCCCAGUCCCAGUUCAGUUAGGCAGUGCUAGUCCACCUCUUUUUAUAGUUAGACCGUAGAAGCACACAGACUCCAUAUCAAACACUAAAAACAAGAAGCUUGAUAUCAUUGAUGGAAAAUCAAUGAUAUGAUAUGGGCAACAAUGUAGCUCACCUGGUUGUCCAGGCUGGAUCUGUUUUGAGGCGAGUCUGGUCUGGAGCAACAAGCGGCCUGUAUCUGUAUCAGGUCUUUUCAAUGGCUCUGUCAUAUCUGUUUAUGUUCUAUUUCUGUGUGAGCAGGAACAGGAAGACUUCUAGGUGGUCAUCGCUGGGCCAACAGUCUAUUUACUGUAAGUAGUGUAUUGUACGGUGUGCGUGUGCGUGUGCGUGAAUGUGUAAGAAAGAAAGAAAGUCUUCCCUGUUCUGUGAGAACCACAUUAAGAGUAACAAUGACUGCAUAGUACAACACACCAUCAGUUUCCCAUCUUAUAAAAGUUGUACCGGAAUCUGACUUGACUCUGACCGGACUCUGACCGGACUCUGACCGGACUCUGACCGGACAUGGGCAAAGACCCUCCUACCCCGGACACCAGACUUCAAACCUCCUACCCCGGGGGCCAGACCAACCCUCCUACCCCGGGGGCCAGACUACAACCCUCCUUCUCCAGAGGCCAGACUCCAACCCUCCUAUUCCAGACUCCAACCCUCCUACUCCAGAGGCCAGACUCCAACCCUCCUAUUCCAGACUCCAACCCUCCUAUUUCAGAGGCCAGACUCCAACCCUCCUAUUCCAGACUCCAACCCUCCUACUCCAGAGGCCAGGCUCCAACCUUCCUAUUCCAGAGGCCAGACUCCAACCCUCCUACUCCAGAGGCCAGUCUCCAACCCUCCUAUUCCAGAGGCCAGACUCCAACUCUCCUACUCCAGAGGCCAGGCUCCAACCCUCCUACUCCAGAGGCCAGACUCCAACCCUCCUACUCCAGAGGCCAGGCUCCAACCCUCCUACUCCAGAGGCCAGACUCCAACCCUCCUAUUCCAGAGGCCAGACUCCAAACCUCCUACUCCAGAGGCCAGACUCCAACCCUCCUACUCCAGAGGCCAGACUCCAACCCUCCUAUUCCAGAGGCCAGACUCCAACCCUCCUAUUCCAGAGGCCAGACUCCAACCCUCCUACUCCAGAGGCCAGACUCCAACCCUCCUACUCCAGAGGCCAGACUCCAACCCUCCUAUUCCAGAGGCCAGACUCCAACCCUCCUAUUCCAGAGGCCAGACUCCAACCCUCCUAUUCCAGACUCCAACCCUCCUAUUCCAGACUCCAACCCUCCUAUUCCAGAGGCCAGACUCCAACCCUCCUAUUCCAGACUCCAACGCUCCUAUUCCAGAGGCCAGACUCCAACCCUCCUAUUCCAGACUCCAACCCUCCUAUUCCAGACUCCAACCCUCCUAUUCCAGAGGCCAGACUCCAACCCUCCUAUUCCAGACUCCAACCCUCCUACUCCAGAGGCCAGACUCCAACCCUCCUAUUCCAGAGGCCAGACUCCAACCCUCCUAUUCCAGAGGCCAGACUCCAACCCUCCUAUUCCAGACUCCAACCCUCCUACUCCAGAGGCCAGACUCCAACCCUCCUACUCCAUAGGCCAGACUCCAACCCUCCUUCUCCGGAGUUCAGGCUCCAACUCUCCUACUCCAGAGGCCAGACUCCAACCCUCCUACUCCAGAGGCCAGACUCCAACCCUCCUAAUCCGGAGUUCAGACUCCAACCCUCCUACUCCAGAGGCCAGACUCCAACCCUCCUUCUCCAGAGUUCAGACUCCAACUCUCCUACUCCAGAGGCCAGACUCCAACCCUCCUACUCCAGAGGCCAGACUCCAACCCUACUUCUCCGGAGUUCAGACUCCAUUAUCUUUUGCUCUCCAUUCCUGAUACUACAGUCCUUCCAUAGAGGCUGAGGCCAGUCCAUUUAGAUUAGAAAUGAAGAGACAGGCAGGCUUCCAUAUUGAUAAUGCCGACUGUUCCUGCUUCGUGUCUCUCCAUUGCGACUGUAUCAGUCAUGUUGAUAAAUAGUUACUGGAACUGUAUUCUAACAGGCCUUCAUAUUGAUAAUGGGCCUGGUAAUAGGAUGGAGCCCAUGUCACCGGAGAGAGCUUUUAUCUCUGUCUCCUCAAAGUGCAGCAGUAACAUGAGAACAACAGCAGGGGGAUAGAGAAUGAUGCAAUUAUGCUAAUUAGCCACUGUUAGUUUAUUAUGUUGGUGUUUUCUUUUAUAUUACCCCCCACUCUCCCUCCUUCCCUCCCUCUCUCUCCCUCCUUCCCUCCCUCUCUCUCCCUCCUUCCCUCCCUCUCUCUCCCUCCUUCCCUCCCCCCC
ensembl:lncRNA